GUUGAGCGGAGAUAUAUGGAGCUUGCUUUUAUAACUUAGCAGCGAACGGGUGAGUAACACGUAGAUAAUCUAUCCUAUACUGGGGGAUAGCCCGAUGAAAGUUGGAUUAAUACCGCAUAUAGCUAUAUAGUUGCAUGAUUAUGUAGUGAAAGAUUUAUUGGUAUAGGAGGAGUCUGCGGCACAUUAGCUAGUAGGUGAGGUAAAGGCUUACCUAGGCGACGAUGUGUAGCCGGUCUGAGAGGAUGAACGGCCACAAUGGAACUGAGACACGGUCCAUACUCCUACGGGAGGCAGCAGUGGGGAAUAUUGCACAAUGGGGGAAACCCUGAUGCAGCAACGCCGCGUGAGUGAAGAAGGUUUUCGGAUUGUAAAGCUCUGUUAGCAGGGAAGAGGAAGGACGGUACCUGCAGAGGAAGCCACGGCUAACUACGUGCCAGCAGCCGCGGUAAUACGUAGGUGGCAAGCGUUGUUCGGAAUAACUGGGCGUAAAGGAUGCGUAGGCGGUUAAACAAGUUAUAUGUUAAAUAUAUAGGCUUAACCUGUAGAAAGCAUAUAAAACUGUUUAACUAGAGUGCAGGAGAGGUAAGUGGAAUUCCUAGUGUAGCGGUGAAAUGCGUAGAGAUUAGGAAGAACACCAGUGGCGAAGGCGACUUACUGGACUGUAACUGACGCUGAGGCAUGAGAGCAUGGGGAGCAAACAGGAUUAGAUACCCUGGUAGUCCAUGCUGUAAACGA
rnacentral:rRNA from 1 species